UCCUACGGGGCGCAGCAGUGGGGAAUAUUGCACAAUGGGGGAAACCCUGAUGCAGCGACGCCGCGUGAGUGAAGAAGUAUCUCGGUACGUAAAGCUCUAUCAGCAGGGAAGAAAAAAAGUCUUUGGCUUUGGACGGUACCUGACUAAGAAGCCCCGGCUAACUACGUGCCAGCAGCCGCGGUAAUACGUAGGGGGCAAGCGUUAUCCGGAUUUACUGGGUGUAAAGGGAGCGUAGACGGCAGCGCAAGGCGGGAGUGAAAUGCCGGGGCUCAACGCCGGGACUGCGUUGGAAACUGUGCAGCUAG
rnacentral:rRNA from 1 species